rnacentral:rRNA from 1 species
AUGGAUGAGUUGCCGCAGCUCCUCCUGCGUGCCUCGUUUGGGCAGCACGCCCAGGAGGGAGGCACAAGACAGGCCGUCGCGGCAGCACUGAGAACACACCGGAAAGGUCGCGCCGACGGCGGCGGCACGCUCGCCGGGCAACAUGCAUACGGCCUAGAGCUGUCCGUGGCGGCAGUGCAUACAUACAUCUAUAUAUCUUUUGUGUAUGUAGAAGACCAGGAGGAGAAGCAAACGCGCUCGCGGUGGCAGCAUCGAGGAACAACGAAGUCCCACGGGAAACAGAGGAGAGAAGGGACACGGCAGGCAACCCACGCAGCCAACGUAGAAGACGCACGCAACAACACAUCUCGCUGA